AGCAAAAUGCAGAAACUGACAUCAUACCUGUGUGCAUUGCUCCACAAGAAGAGACUCCGGUUAUCAACCCAGAUGUUGGAGAAUUGUGUGAACCAGCCAAGGUUGCCAUGGGUUGCAAUGUAACUGAAACAGCCACUGUUGAGUCUCCUCACGUGUUGCGUGCUGAGGAGGGUGUGCAUGCUAUUUUGCCGACGCAUCCUGAGGGAGCGAACGUAUCAGUGGGUUCGUUAGUUCAUAACACAUCUGCAAAG